CUACACAUGCAAGUCGAACGAAACUUUUUGCUUCGGUAGAAAGUUUAGUGGCGGACGGGUGAGUAACGCGUGAGGAACCUGCCUUUCAGAGGGGGAUAAUGUCUGGAAACGGACACUAAUACCGCAUGACAUUUUCUGUUCACAUGGACAGAAAAUCAAAGGAGCAAUCUGCUGAAAGAUGGACUCGCGUCCGAUUAGCUAGAUGGUGAGAUAAUAGCCCACCAUGGCGACGAUCGGUAGCCGGACUGAGAGGUUGAACGGCCACAUUGGGACUGAGACACGGCCCAGACUCCUACGGGAGGCAGCAGUGGGGGAUAUUGCACAAUGGAGGAAACUCUGAUGCAGCAACGCCGCGUGAAGGAAGACGGUCUUCGGAUUGUAAACUUUUGUACCUAGGGACGAUAAUGACGGUACCUAGGCAGCAAGCUCCGGCUAACUACGUGCCAGCAGCCGCGGUAAUACGUAGGGAGCGAGCGUUGUCCGGAUUUACUGGGUGUAAAGGGUGCGUAGGCGGCCAAGCAAGUCAGCUGUGAAAACUAUGGGCUUAACCCAUAGCCUGCAAUUGAAACUGUUUGGCUUGAGUGAAGUAGAGGUAGGUGGAAUUCCCGGUGUAGCGGUGAAAUGCGUAGAGAUUGGGAGGAACACCAGUGGCGAAGGCGACCUACUGGGCUUUAACUGACGCUGAAGCACGAAAGCAUGGGUAGCAAACAGGAUUAGAUACCCUGGUAGUCCAUGCUGUA
rnacentral:rRNA from 1 species